rnacentral:tRNA from 1 species
AGUUAAUUAGCUAAUGAAAGCAUAUAUUUUGAAAAUAUAAUACAAUAGUUUAACUCUAUUAUUAACUU